rnacentral:rRNA from 1 species
UUAUGCGAUCAUACCAGCACUAAGACACAUGAUCCCAUCAAAUUCCAAAGUUAAGCAUACUUGGGAAGAGUAGUACUAGAAUGGGUGACCCUUGAGAGGUCCUCGUGUUGCAUACC